AAAUUGAAGAGUUUGAUCAUGGCUCAGAUUGAACGCUGGCGGCAGGCCUAACACAUGCAAGUCGAACGGUAGCACAGAGAGCUUGCUCUCGGGUGACGAGUGGCGGACGGGUGAGUAAUGUCUGGGAAACUGCCUGGUGGAGGGGGAUAACUACUGGAAACGGUGGCUAAUACCGCAUAAUGUCGCAAGACCAAAGAGGGGGACCUUC
rnacentral:rRNA from 1 species